UCGCGGCGGCGGAGCAACGGAGCUGCAGCGGCGGGGCGACAGUGGAGCGCCUACUCACGAGCUGAACCUCAAGACAAUUGGAUUUAUCGCCGGGCUAGUGCUAUGCUUGAAGUCACUGGUCAUCGCCUCAUGGAGUCAUGGGCGACGGGGCCCUCUAGAGUUCACGCAGAGUUAUCUCGAAUUGAUGGGGGAUAUUCAGUGUUUAUUCAGCCACACUUGGUGUCUUGUGUUUGAUCUCUUUGCAAUGCAGUAACGGCACGACACCCUGAAUCACCCACAUCGUGGGAGGACACCUGACACAAGGUGGAGUGCAGUUGAGGUCUGGGACAACCAUCUUCUGUUGCUUUCAGGUGAAUACAAGUGGACAGUUUGUUGGUGUUGCUGAAAUGACUGGUCCUGUUGAUUUUGAAAAAACUCUAGAGUACUGGCAACAAGACAAGUGGAAUGGUUAAUUCUCGGUCAAGUGGCACAUUGUCAAGGAUGUUCCCAACAACAUUCUCAAGCACAUCAUCCUAGAGAACAACAAGGG